rnacentral:rRNA from 1 species
UACGUAGGGUGCAAGCGUUAAUCGGAAUUACUGGGCGUAAAGCGUGCGCAGGCGGCUAUGCAAGACAGAUGUGAAAUCCCCGGGCUCAACCUGGGAACCGCAUUUGUGACUGCAUGGCUAGAGUGCGGCAGAGGGGGAUGGAAUUCCGCGUGUAGCAGUGAAAUGCGUAGAUAUGCGGAGGAACACCGAUGGCGAAGGCAAUCCCCUGGGCCUGCACUGACGCUCAUGCACGAAAGCGUGGGGAGCAAACAGG